rnacentral:lncRNA from 1 species
ACCAAUAUGACUAUUUGGUUACAUUUGGCUUUUGUUGCUUAGUUUAUUCUUACAUAGAUGGGCAGCUGGAUGUUAGGGAAAAACAGGGACAGGAAAGAGACUCCAUCCAGUGGCUCUCUGAAGAUUCACCCUUGUUAUCAGUCACUUGGGAUUCUGUUAUCAGAAUUUGGGAUUGCUUGUUAUCACAGCAUUACCUAGUCUACCCUGACUAAUACAAGGGCACUUUGAGAAUCUGAUGGAAGCUCAGGCCACAAGAAAACUGCACAUUCAUGCAAAAUUCAGAACCUUUCAAUUUUAAUGUCUUGAGAUUUCGUUGUGUUUCUAAGAUCCUUGAUGUCCCACAGCCUCCUCUUCUCAGCCUUGGAAUCUGAGGCACCUGGGUUGUAAGUGAUGCUAUGUCAGUGUUCACAAAGGCUCACAAGUCUGCGAAGUGGCCAAGAUGAGCUGACCCUGUCACCAUGGAGCAAGGCCUAUGUGUGCAAAUGAGUCAUGAGCUGAGAGGAAAGAGCUUGAGCCUGAGCUUUUUUUUUUCUUUUCUUUUCUUUUCUUUUUAUGAUGAUUGCUUGAGCCUGAGCUUGUUUGCCAGAUGCUUUCACUAGCCCAAGCUUGUUUUGUGGAUGCUUUCUGCUGCCAGCUACUUUGUAGUCCCUCCUGUGUGACAGCAUCUUGCCAUCAACGGGCUGCAGAAGAAGGGGUGCUUGUUGCUAUUGUGAGCAAACACUGCAUAAACAAUCAGCUCACAUGUGUGUCCCAGAGCGUAUGACCAAUGACCUGGAGAACUCUCAGGCUGUGGGGUGGAGAGAAGGCCAUUCUGAGGUCAACUGAAACCUCACUUGAGGGGCAGUUCCGUAGAUGGGAAUGAGGAGAGAGUCAUGGCCACAGCCACCUGGCCAAGGAGAGAGGCCAUAACUGCCAGACAGAACCAAGGAUGGAGGGACUUCAGCAGCACGAACAAUCCACACUCAGCAUGGGUCACUCUCUGGGACACACAUUUCCCUCUGGCUGAAAGGCUGAGCUGCUCCAGGGCCAACUGUGAGGUCAGACAGCUGCCCAGGGAUGUCUCCAGCCACUCAAGGGAAGAAGAGACCACUCACCUGUAAUUUCAACAGCAACAAAAGACCUGAGGUUCCACCAUCAGAACUUCACGCCCUAAGGAAGAUGCAGCAUUUCCUGUAAAAUGCAAGUGCUCCCAGGCAGAGGUAGCUCCCGAAGCCAUGAUCAGUUAUGUAUACCUUAGUGGCAGCUGAUUAACAGACUCUUCCCCAGAGCCAGCUGACAGGAAGCACAUCGGGGUAAAAGGGAAGAUGAAAACUUGGGUGCCUGGAGGAAGGGAACAAAUGCGAGCAGGAGCAUGAAACCCUGGGCCCCUUCCCCAGCUGUCAUGAAGGUGCCUGAGUGAUGGUCAGAGAGAUGACCGGAGGGGCCCACCCGGCCACCGCAGCAGCAGCAGCCAAGGCGGGACUAAGCCUCCACACCCCACAUCUCAGUCGUGGCCAGCCCGGGAUGCCUGCCUCUCCUGCCCUGUGGUGUUGCUGUCCUCAUAUGACCCUUCAGUCCCCCGACAUCUGGACAGGCUUUAGGGACCUGCUUGAGCAGAACAUGGUAGAAGUGAUGGACUGGGGCUUCUGAGGCUAAGCCAUAAGAAGCCUUGAGAAUUUCACCUGGCCCUCACUGUCUCUGGGAGCCCUGAGCCAUGAUAGAAGAAGUCCUUCCUAUAUUGAAUGUCCUUGAGACCUCCAGUACUGGAAAGGGCAUUUGUAGAUGCUCAGACCAACAGUCCAAACUGAGCCCAGUCUGCCAACUUGCCCUGCCAAGGUGUCAGAUGCAUAUGUGAAUGAGACCAUCCUAGACCUGCUGAUAGCCCAUCACCCGGCUGACUGCUACUGAGUAACCUCUGCCAACUUCACGCCGAACACAGAACUGCUGAUUUGAACUCUGCCUGAAUUUCUUGGCCCACAGAACAAUGAGAUAUAAUUAAAAGGCAAUGGUUCAAGCCA